rnacentral:rRNA from 1 species
GACGAACGCUGGCGGCGUGCUUAACACAUGCAAGUCGAACGGAAAGGCCCUGCUUUUGUGGGGUGCUCGAGUGGCGAACGGGUGAGUAACACGUGGGUAACCUGCCCUUCACUUUGGGAUAACUUCAGGAAACUGGGGCUAAUACCGGAUAGGAGCUCCUGCUGCAUGGUGUGGGUUGGAAAUUUUCGGCGGUUGGGGAUGGACUCGCGGCUUAUCAGCUUGUUGGUGGGGUAGUGGCUUACCAAGGCUUUGACGGGUAGCCGGCCUGAGAGGGUGACCGGCCACAUUGGGACUGAGAUACGGCCCAGACUCCUACGGGAGGCAGCAGUGGGGAAUAUUGCACAAUGGGCGGAAGCCUGAUGCAGCAACGCCGCGUGCGGGAUGACGGCCUUCGGGUUGUAAACCGCUUUCGCCUGUGACGAAGCGUGAGUGACGGUAAUGGGUAAAGAAGCACCGGCUAACUACGUG